CUCUCUCGCUCUCUCUCUCCCCAUCACUUUCUUUCUUUCUCUCAAGCACUCCUCGAACCCUCUCUCUCAUCUGCAACGCAUGCUCCUCCUCAUCCCCAAGCUUAACAACAACAACAACAACCCUUCCCACUAGACGUAGGGAUCUCGAGAAACCCAAGUAAACCUUUGUGGAACCCCAAAAAUGACAGAGUCACUAUUCACCGUCUUCCCUGUCGGACUCUGACGUGUUUUGUGACUUUUUCGACGUUGGGUCGGGCGUGUCAUCUACUGUGGAGAUGAUGUGUUAUACUUAAAGGUGACCUAUCGUCAGGAACACUCAUGUCAUUCUCAAGUUGGGAAACCACUUUUUUUCCUUUGAAAUAUUCAACCAAGAACCUAGUCUUAAGUCCAAGGUAAGGCUUCACCACCACCUACAUAGCGAAACCCAAACCCCCCAAACCAAUCUUCUCAACUUUCAGUGUUGAUGGCCGUAAAUUGAAACUCAAAAACUCAUCUUCUCAACUCUAUAUUCUAUAAUAAAUAGAAAUCAAACGAAAAAAAAAAAAA